GCCUUCUUGGUGUAGUGGUCAGCACGCUCGGCGCGUAUUCGAGAGGUCCGUGGUUCGAUUCCAGGCGAAGACA
rnacentral:tRNA from 1 species